CUGGUUAUUCCAGAAACACCAGUCGCUGAGGAUCUCUCAUCUGCAGUUCCCUGCUGGAUCUUCAUUCUGACUGGUUAACCAAUUGUUCCAGUGCAUUGAAGGGCUAGGAUUUCAUCAUCGAAUUGCUUUGUACCUAUGUUGAAAAUAAAAUGGUGAUGUGUA